AACGCUAGCUACAGGCUUAACACAUGCAAGUCGAGGGGCAGCAUGAUUGAAGCUUGCUUCAAUUGAUGGCGACCGGCGCACGGGUGAGUAACACGUAUCCAACCUUCCGUACACUCAGGGAUAGCCUUUCGAAAGAAAGAUUAAUACCUGAUGGUAUCUUAAGCACACAUGUAAUUAAGAUUAAAGAUUUAUCGGUGUACGAUGGGGAUGCGUUCCAUUAGGUAGUAGGCGGGGUAACGGCCCACCUAGCCUACGAUGGAUAGGGGUUCUGAGAGGAAGGUCCCCCACAUUGGAACUGAGACACGGUCCAAACUCCUACGGGAGGCAGCAGUGAGGAAUAUUGGUCAAUGGGCGCGAGCCUGAACCAGCCAAGUAGCGUGAAGGAUGAAGGUCCUACGGAUUGUAAACUUCUUUUAUAAGGGAAUAAAGUCACCUACGUGUAGGUGUUUGUAUGUACCUUAUGAAUAAGCAUCGGCUAACUCCGUGCCAGCAGCCGCGGUAAUACGGAGGAUGCGAGCGUUAUCCGGAUUUAUUGGGUUUAAAGGGAGCGUAGACGGGUCGUUAAGUCAGCUGUGAAAGUUUGAGGCUCAACCUUAAAAUUGCAGUUGAUACUGGCGUCCUUGAGUACGGUUGAGGCAGGCGGAAUUCGUGGUGUAGCGGUGAAAUGCUUAGAUAUCACGAAGAACUCCGAUUG
rnacentral:rRNA from 1 species